UUAAAAGACUACUUUAACUAAGAAAACACAACAUAAAUGCAUAAGAACUAGCUAACUAAGGUGCAUAAAUAUGCUCCUAUCACUUUGUAAAGAGAAAAAAGUCCACUACUUCAUGUAAUUACAACUAGAACCCAAAAAUUUCAACAAAUACAAAAGCUUCAUUAAAGGAGCAAAACAAUUUGUCCGUAAGUGAUUUAGGGCCUUUACGUAGAAACGUUAACUUUCGGGUCAAAGCACAAAUACAUAAAAGUAUCAAAACUUUAUGUAAUUGUAUAAAAGCCCCAAAAGUACUCCUUUUGAAAGAGUGGCCGGCCAAGGAGUAGUGUGAGUGAUGGUGUGUGUGAGUUGAUUAGUUUGAAAGGAUUGAAAGUUGUAAGUGAUUGGUAUGGUGUGAAUAGUAAAAUAGGUAUGGGUGUUGAUUGAAAAACUUACCAUCCAUCACUUAGCAAAAACAAAUAAACAACCAAACAUCUUUUUGAAUCAAAACAACAAACCUUUUUGUUCUUGGUAUGAACAACAAGAACAAACCAAGAACAUUGAAGAACAUCCAUAAAAACCCAUAAGAGCUCCAUGAAUGUUUUCACUCAUUAAAACUCAAAUUUUCACUACUCAAAAGAGGGUUAACAUCCUAGGGUACUUAGGGGGUUCCAAAAGUCACUUUAAAACACUUUUAACAAGACAAACAUGAGCCCAAAAAUCCACCAGUUGGAUUUGGCCAAAUUUCCCCAAAAACAUGGCACUAAAUUUUAGCUCCAAAAUUCAUGCUCAUAUGAACUACAUCUACAACAUUUGAGAUGGCAAAUUUUCUAGCAAAAUUUACAUUCAAAGAAGCAAGAAUAAAGCUUGUAACAAUUGCAACAUUCAAAUCAAAGACUAUGAUCUACAAAACCCAAAAGGAUUCACCAACUACUAGACCUAGGCUCUGAUACCACUUGAAGGAAAUAUUUGUGAAAACUAGUUCAUUUGAGCAACAUCUAUGCAUGCUAUUAACAGUUCAAGGGCGGAAUCAUGCUUGUAUGCACUCAAAAACAAAACUUUACCCAUAAAAUUCAAGGCCUAGUAGUUAUGGUGAACCAAGACUCAACUCAAGAACAAAGUGAGGUGAGAAAUAUUAUACCUUUGUUCAUUCCUCUAUGCAUAAGCAAAGGCUAAUUACCCAAGAGAUAUGGCCUUCAUUCCUUACUUCUUAGAUCCAUGGAUUUCUUGGAUGAGGAUGGUAGAAUGGAUUCUCCAAGUUCCCAAAAUAGAGAACCUCUAAGUCUCCACACCAAGGAGAGCAUUGAUGAAAAGAUAAGUGACCUAGAGGAAAUAAGAUUGCUAGCUAUUUUCCUCUAGGGUGGCCGGCCUCUUAGAGAGAAAAGAGAGCAUUGUGUUCUCAUCUUUUCUCUAAAAGAAACCCAAACGAUGAAAUGUUAUAAAGUUCUUUAUAUAGUCCCUUCAAUGAAGUGACAAAAGUAGGGCUGGGUUCGGUUCUCAGCGGUUCGGUUUUUUUCCAAAACUGAAACCGAACCGAAAUAUCGAUUCAGUUCAAUUUUUUUCGGUUUUUUCUCAGUUCGGUUUUUUUUCGGUUCUGUUUUUCCGGUUCGGUUUAGGUUUUUUCAAGACUUUUUUUUUUUAAUCUGGAACAAAUCUGAAAAGAUUGAUUGAGCACUGAAGAGAAAAACACAGAGAGCCUUUCUUGAACAAAUCUGCCAUGGAUCUUGAACACAUAAAGCUUUUUUUUUUAAUCUGGAACAAAUCUGCCAUGGAUCUGACAUUAUUAGGUGUUAGUGCGCCUUUCUUGUUGUGGAUUUGAGAGCUUAUGCAGAGAAAAACACACAUGCAUGUGUUAAUUCUUUGAUUUUUCCGUGAAAAUAAACCCAAUAGAGCUAAAUAGCAGCCAACCAUGAGAGAUUUUUACCUUGGGGGUUUGUUUUUAGUCCCAAACCUCUUGUCAUCCAUGGCAACACCUAUGCAUUUGUUGCCAAAUUGGAAGAUUAUAUAAAAUCCCAACAAAAUAAAGAAAAACCCAUUUUAAUUCAGUAAAUCACAAUAUAAAAUUAUAAAUCAUAUUCGUUUUGAUUUGAAAAUUACCUGUGAGAGAUCGGAAAACCAGGAUUAGAAUCUUCCAAUUUGGAGGGGGUUCCGACUUGAAAGGGGCGAGGGAAAAUCAUGGUGUGGAAGACGGGAAAAUCAUGAUUUGGAAGAAGAGGAGGAGGACAGGAGAAGACUAGAGAGAGAAUGAUUUGGAGGAAGAGAGGAAGGGGAGAGAGAGAGAGAGACUGAGGAAGCAGCGGAAAUGGGAAAUGGGAGAAAGAGAGUGUUUGAGAUAUGAAAUGGGAAAUGGGAAAUGGGAAAUGGGAGUGAGACGGCUAGGGUUUGUAAAGUUAAGAAAUUUUAUAAAGCAUUAAAUACAAGAAACCUAUAAAUAACGUACUGGUGCAAUUAUAACAAUUCAAAGCCUACAGUCAAAUGGGCUUGCAACGACUAACCCCAACCUGCAGGGAAGGGGUUCAAACCUUGACGCCUGCAUGUUUUUUAGUAUUUAUAUCUUACUUUUUUUUUCUGGUUCGGUUCGGUCCGGUUCGGUUUUCAGACCUCAAAAAUUGAAACCGAACCAGCCAGAUUCAGUUCGGUUUGGUUUGGCAGCUUCGGUUUUCAAUUUUUUGAACCCACCCCUAGACAAAAGAACCAAAACCCUUCAUCCUCUAAUGUGGCCGGCCAUAAGGGUUUAUUGGGCUUUCAAGCCCUUUGUGUAUUCAAGUUGUCAUACAACUUGAGUUAAUGGGCUAGACAUUCAAAUCCUAUUGGGCCUUACGGCCCAAAACUAACCUGAGGUCUAUAACGAACUUAUUCAUUUGAUUAAUUAACAUAUUAAUUAAUCCUAGCCAAAAGUAAUUAAACCAUUUAAUUAUCCUUACUCAUCUCCAUUAUUUCUUCAAUCUCUACCUUACAUGGUGUACGAUCCAUUAGGUUCCUUUUAGUGAGGCAGUGGACGAUUAGAACUCUUCAAAUCAAUUGUGAAUUGAAACUUACUUUCAAUUUUCCCUUUAGUGAUUACCACCUUUAAGGCUUCCACAAACCAUGAGUGACACCUAGUAGUAUGUCAUGGCUACCCAAGCUAAUCAGAAGAGGUGGAGAACCUAUUCAGUUUAGGAUUACAAUUCAAUACGAUCUUUCUCUAAUACAAUACUCUUGACCACAUUGUUUGGUUUGAUAGUUUAUUCAUGUCUACUAUCCAAUGUGAUUCUCUUACUUAUAUGAUUACCUUGAAUGUGAUUUGGAAUGACCUCCUAAAUCUCAUUCAUACUUUGGCCAGAGAUUCUUAAUCAUAUCAUAGAGUAUUCUCCCGAAAACGGUUUGAAGGUUAGAGAUUCCUUGUUGCGCAUUCACCUACCUGAAGGAAAAUUUUUGUCCUAGCUAAGAACAUGUGAGAAUAUUUGAACACAUAUGCAAACUAUUAACACAUUAAAGUAGGCAUGCAUUCAAAAACAAUUCUAAAACCCAUGACUUUCAAAGCCUAGUUAAUGGUGAACCAAAAGACUCUUUAACAACAUUAAAGAGAAGGAAGGAUUUAGAGAUUUAUUAACCUUGAAGCGCAUCCUUGUUUACACAAGGGAUUCACCCAAGUGGAGGGCCUUCAAGUCACCUCCUUGCUCCUUAGAUCUUGCUUGUGAUUUCCUUCCCCUUUUGUGCUCCUUUGGUCCUUAAGGAUGUGAGGAAAGGAUCUCCAAAAACACCAAAGGUUUGAUGUCUCUAAGUCUCCACACCAAGGAUGUGAUGUGAUGUGAAGAUGAAAUGGAUGACAUAGAGAAGAAAAGAUUGCUAGCUAAAUCUUCCCUAUGUGGCCGGCUUCUUUGUAGAGAGAAAGAGAGAAAAAUGUUUCACCUCUUUGCCUCAAAGAAAACCCUUAAAAUAAAAUAAAGCUAUAAAGUUGAAUUUAUACUUCAUCACAUGUGAGUGGCAAACUUGUAAUUAAUCCAAGUUUGCAUCCACUCACCCUAUGGCCGGCCAUGUUGAUUUUAUUGGGCUAAUUGCCCAUUUUGUUUUAGUUGUCAUACAACUUAAACAUAAUGGGCCUUGUGGACCAAAACGCUUUUGGGCCCCGAAGCCCAAAACCAACUUAAAAGCCCAAUACGAACAUUUCGUAUAAUUAAUUAGCUAAUUAAUUAACUUUGACCAUUCUUCAAUUAAACCAUUUAAUUGCAUAUCCAUUUCAUUUAAUUUCUUCACUUUCAUCCAUUUAAUUUUGCUAAUCAUUAGGGCUUCCACAAACCAUGAGUGACACCUAGCAGCAUGUCAUGGUUACCCAAGCUAAGUAGAAUUGGUUGGAGAACCUAUCCAGUUACAACUACAAUGCAAUACGGUCCUUCUCUAAUACAAUACUCUUAAUCACAUUGUUUAAGUGAUAGUUUGUUUCAUGUCUACUAUCCAAUGUGAUACUUCUCCAUAUGAUUCUAUUGAAUAAGAUUUGGAACAAACUUCCUAAGUCAUAUUCAUAUGUUUUGGCCAAAGACUCUCGAAUCAUAUCUUAGAGUAUUCUCCUUCCACCAUGGAAGGUUAGAGAUCCCUUGUUGUGCAUUCAUAUGCCUACAUGACUAGAUAGCUUGACCCCAACAAUUCCGUGGACACUCCAAU
rnacentral:lncRNA from 1 species